rnacentral:piRNA from 1 species
UGUGCCCUUACCUGUGCAUCU